CCCCACCCCUGCCCCACCCCCACGCAAAAGUUCCUUUCUGUCCCUUAUUAUAAUCAGCACAAUAUAUUUUGUGGUUUGUUACUUUUGAUUUUGUUGUCUUGUUUCAGUUAAAGAAGAAAACAGGAGCUUUUGUCUUUUCAGUUUAGCAGAAUUUAAGGAGGUACAUGCAAGCUGGCCUAGACACCACGGUUGAUUAACUAAUAUAGGACAAAUCUGUUUUAGUCUUGGUGGACAGAGUUAUCUGGUAUAGUGAAUGCAAGCUGGCUCACACAUUGCGGUUAUCCAAAAAAUAAAAAUAGAGAUAAAUCUUGAUGUGGGGUGUUUCAAGAUUCAAUUUUUAUUCAGCUUUAUCAGAUGAAAAUUGAAAUAUAAUAUGAAUUGAACCUUGGAACUUUUAUUUCCAA